rnacentral:rRNA from 1 species
CAGCCGCCGCGGUAAUACCGGCGGCCCGAGUGGCGGUCACUAUUAUUGGGCUUAAAGCGUCCGUAGCCGGGUUGGGAAGUCCUCCGGGAAAUCUGGCCGCUUAACGGUCAGAAUGCCGGAGGAUACUCCCAGCCUAGGGAGCGGGAGAGGCCGAGGGGAUUCCCGGAGUAGGGGUGAAAUCCUAUAAUCCCGGGAGGACCACCUGUGGCGAAGGCGCUCGGCUGGAACGCGUCCGACGGUGAGGGACGAAGGCCAGGGGAGCAAACCGGAUUAGAUACCCGGGUAGUCCUGGCGGUAAACGAUGCGGACUUUGUGUCGGACAAGCUAUGAGCUUGUCCGGUGCCGGAGGGAAACCGUUAAGUCCGCCGCCUGGGGAGUACGGCCGCAAGGCUGAAACUUAAAGGAAUUGGCGGG